rnacentral:misc_RNA from 1 species
UCCGGCUUGACGCCGGCAGUCCCCCGAGAGUCCUCAGCUUGACCUGUUAGUAACACGGGGCAAGGGUUGCGCUCGUUGCGGGACUUAACCCAACAUCUCGGGGGGCUUCCCGUGUAUGUCAAACCCAGGUAAGGUUCUUUGCGUUGCAUCGAAUUAAUCCGCAUGCUCCGCCGCUUGUGCGGGCCCCCGUCAAUUCCUUUGAGUUUUAGCCUUGCGGCCGUACUCCCCAGGCGGGGCGCUUAAUGCGUUAGCUACGGCACGGAACCCGUGGAAAGGAUCCCACACCUAGCGCCCAACGUUUACGGUGUGGACUAC